UAAUAAGUGUUUUAUGGCACUUUUUAAAUCCAUACCACCUUGUGUGCAAUGUCAGUCGAUCUUCUUCAUGGAGAUCGACCAAACAUCAACCUUUAUCUUUUAACUCUUUGUCUGAAAAAUAUUAUGAAUAAACAAUUCAAAAUA
rnacentral:misc_RNA from 1 species